rnacentral:rRNA from 1 species
UACGGAGGGGGCUAGCGUUGUUCGGAAUUACUGGGCGUAAAGCGCGCGUAGGCGGAUCUGCAAGUCGGGGGUGAAAUCCCGAGGCUCAACCUCGGAACUGCCUUCGAUACUGCGGGUCUCGAGUCCGGGAGAGGUGAGUGGAAUUCCUAGUGUAGAGGUGAAAUUCGUAGAUAUUAGGAAGAGCACCAGUGGCGAAGGCGGCUUCCUGGACACUAACUGACGCUGAGACGCGAAAGCGUGGGGAGCAAACAGG